CAGCCCCUCAAGUGGUCAGGAUGAUUAUUGGGCUUAAAGCGUCCGUAGCCUGCUUAGCAAGUCUCCUGUUAAAUUCAGCGACCUAAUCGUUGAGCCGCGGGAGAUACUACUAGGCUAGGAGGCGGGAGAGGUCGACGGUACUUCUGGGGUAGGGGUGAAAUCCUAUAAUCCCAGGAGGACCACCAGUGGCGAAGGCUGUCGACUAGAACGCGCUCGACGGUGAGGGACGAAAGCUGGGGGAGCGAACCGGAUUAGAUACCCGAGUAGUCC
rnacentral:rRNA from 1 species